rnacentral:rRNA from 1 species
UACAGAGGGGGCAAGCGUUGUUCGGAAUUACUGGGCGUAAAGGGCGCGCAGGCGGCGCAUUUUGUCAGGCGUGAAAGCCCCGGGCUUAACCUGGGAACUGCGUUUGAUACGGAUGGGCUAGAGUUCGGGAGAGGAGAGUGGAAUUCCCAGUGUAGAGGUGAAAUUCGUAGAUAUUGGGAAGAACACCGGUGGCGAAGGCGGCUCUCUGGACCGAGACUGACGCUGAGGCACGAAAGCGUGGGGAGCAAACAGG